GUUAAAUUAGUGGAAAACAACCCAACACAAAUAAACCUAGUCCACCAAUCUCCCUCCCUAAUUGUCGGCCCAACUGAAAAGAAUAAUAGCCGAACCUCCUAUUUUAUCAUUUCAAUUUCAUACAACCCAAAACAAGGAAUGGCCCAACAAUUAAUGAAAACAACGAAACUCACUUUAUCUUCUUCACUCCCACUCGGUACUCUCUCUCCCCCUAGUUUCUCUCACGCCCAGAACAGAAAAUCCCCAAUCUAUCUCUCUGUUGUCGCCUCCGUGGCCGGCAAAGAAGCUCAUCUUCCUAUUCCUCACAGUACUCUCUCUCUUCUAUCUCAAUUCAUAACCGAUCGCGACUCCCAUCUCUCUCGUUUGAAAUCUCCUUCUGCCAGCGAAAAUCAGCACCGCCAUCACCGACAACCUUCAAUUGCCGCUGUUUUCGUCCCUCUCAGCUAUCGCCAUCGCUUUCAGCUCGCGAACCCAUCACUGCUGUCCGUUCGACCACGCCCAGCUCGCCGUUGCUGCCCGCUCAGCCACGUCGUCAUGAUUGAGCGCUUCUGCCCGGUGCCACCUCGGCUCGAACAGCCCCGAUUUUCUCCCAAAAGCUAAGUUUUGUUUCUAAAGUUCUAAUCUUUAAAUUGUGAAUUCGGUGCUUGCAGUUGGUAAGGUUUUGUGUGUGUUACAAAAGUUACCAAAUGAUGAAUUAGACGCGAAGAUCUUGAAUCUGAAAUGAGGUAGUAUACCUGCUGCUGAAUUGAAAUUCGGAUAAUCUCCUUGGGGUUCAAACCAAAGCGGCAGCCCCUACCUCCCUCUAUCUUCUCCUCCUUUCUGCCAUGAGAUUUCCUUGAGGCUAGUUGAACAAGUUUGGAAUAAAAGUGGCAGAUUAUGAUAGGGACCCAACAUCGGAGACCAAUGAUCAACCACCCACCUUAGGGGAAGAUCAUGCAAACGUGCAGGAGGAGGAGCAGCAGACUCGGGGUCGAGAGAAGAAGAGGAAGACUCCUGCGCAAGCAAGGAAAGAUCGACCAAAGAUAAGCACAUCAAAACCUGUCAAUUUCAAAGAUUUCGUACCCCAUUAAGAUUGGGAUUUAUUUUAUUUUAUUUUUGCUUUGUUGCCUUAUUUUUGAACAAUUACCUAGUUUAAUAUUUUAUAUCUUUUCGGGUUUUCUUCUUGAUUCUUUCCCGAAUCGUACAGUCGAAUCAAGCAGGGUCGGAACUCUAUAUAUAGAGUUCAUUAGAGAGUCAAAAAAAUCAUCUCGAGUUAUAAGAAAUAAAAUUCUUUUUCUCGAAACCCUAUUCUCACAAAUAGAGAUGUCAAGUGGGUCGGGCCGGCCCAGCCCGACCCGGGCCAUGGUCCGCUAAGGCCCGCCUAUAUUGAGGCCCGACCCAGGCCCAUGUCUAAGGCUGGCUGUGCUGGGCCUGGUUUUUUCUAAUUUUGCUAAGCCUGGCCCUGCCCAGGCCCACUUGCUUUGUUUAAAUUUUUUGUCUAAGUAUUUUAAAGAUAUCCUAAAUGUAUUAUAUGCAAAAAUAAAACAUAUAACUUAUAUUUUUAUAUCACAUUAACUAAAUUUAAAUUUAAUAGUGUGUUUAAGUUCAUUUAUUGACUUUAUGUCAACGAUAUUUUUCAUGUUCUUUAUUCUAUCUAAAAGUAAGUAUAUAACUAAAGAAAUAACCAAUAUUGUUAGUUUUGUUUUGUUAGUAGAUGAUGUGAUAUGGGUUGAUGUUGUAUUCUUAAAGCUACAAGUAUAUGAACUAACUAACAAAUUUAAAGAAUUCUAUAAUUAUCAUCAUAUAUUAAGGUUUGAAUACGUAAUAUUCUUAAAGUUAAACUUCAUAAUCAUCUUUUUUACAUCUUUGGUGUAAAAAUUAUAAAAAAAAUAAAUGUAAUUAAGAUUGAAUGUUUCGUUCAUGAUUUAGUUGGAAACUUAUGUUGAUAUUACUAUUACUGUUUGAGCCAUUCGGAGACAUCCAAAAUAUUGGAAUGAUAUAGUCAAAAUUAACAUGUUUCGUGCACAAGAUGACAUGCAUAAAUAGAGAAAUAUACUAUUAUUAGUGAAUAAUCACCUAAUUACAUUUAAAAAAACUAAUUAUAGAGGGUGGGCUUGGGCUUGGGCUUGGGCUGGGCUUCGAAUGGUCCAGCGCCUGGGUUUACAAAAUGGCCCAAUUGGAGCCCAUCUCAACUGAUGAGCCCAGCCCAUGCCCACUUCGUUUCACUGGUGGGCCGUGCCAUACCGGGCCGGGCCGAGCUGGGCUGGGCCAGUUGACAACUCUACUCACAAACUCAAGUUCUGUUAUUUCUCUUCUCGUUCUCAGCAAAACAGGUGCUCGUCGACGUCCGAUAGGCCACAAGGCUUAUCAGAUUACGAGAGGGGAUUACCUCUUAAGAGAAGGGAUUGUGAACGAACAGGAAGCUGUUGGACUCUCCGCUCUUCCUAUUCUCUGGUUUUCUCUCUACUGCCUUCUCUCAACUGUGUGUAUGGCAGCUAGGAGAAUUAGAUCAUGGUUGUGUAAAGCAUGGAACGAUAUACUGAUUCAACAAGAACAGUCGAUCACACAUGACAAUAUAUAUACUUAGUUUUAAAGGGGGAGAAAUCAUAAGAGCAAGAAUGACACCAUGACUACUUCAUUUCUUUCACGACAAUUCAACAUUACAAGUGAAUACAUAUCACGAUUCAGAAUCUCAGCUAGCGGUCAAUGUGCUUUCUGGAGUUGAGAAGCUGCAAAACUCAAGAUGCUGACUAUCAUCACCACACGCAACUGCUCCUCUGCCGAGUUGAUCAAUGAUCAAAAGAAAAGGAAGGAGGAAGAGUUCUACCUCUCUAUUUUUCCACCUAAUUAAUUAUGAUCAUUAUUGACAGGCAACUGCUUGAUUUCCUUUUUGCAAUUAUAAGAGAUGAUUUUUAUAUUGAUACCUAAAUUUAUUCCCUAUACUGGAAAUUAGAGAUGGGAUCAAUGUUUACUUUCUAUCCUCAAUAAAAAUACCAUUGUACGUUUUUUCUUUGUUUAGUUCCCUGAUUUCUGUAAGUUGAACUAAUCAAACUUGCACACUUUUAAUUCCUCA